GCUCCCACAACACCACAAACAGCACACGCUAAAGAUAACGCUAUGAGCAUGCAGUUGUGCAAACAUAUUGUGGCGUUUAAUGUGGCGUUGUGGCACUUUGGAUGCUGUAUUUAAUGCUGUCUUUUUAAGAGAAUGUGUUUCACACAUGAAGUGUUUUAACCUAUAUAGUUUUCCAUAUUGUGAAAUAUUGUGGCGUUAAAUACGGCGUCCAAACUCUCACAAUGCUACAUUUAAUGCCAUAUUUAAUAGAACACAUUUUCACCUAUAUGGUUUUCCAUAUUGUGAAAUAUUGCAGCUGUAAUGUAUUUUGACCUAUGUGGCAUUCCGUAUUACCAAAGUCUACAUAUGUGUGA